rnacentral:misc_RNA from 1 species
GAUUAAGAACGCAGCGAAAUGCGAUAAGUAAUGUGAAUUGCAGAAUUCAGUGAAUCAUCGAAUCUUUGAACGCAUCUUGCGCUCCUUGGUAUUCUGAGGAGCAUGCCUGUUUGAGUGUCAUUAAAUUCUCAACUACACUGACUUUGAAUUGGUGUGGCUUGGAUUUGGGGGGAAAAUUGUUGUGGGCUUUUUGUAUAGUCUGCUCCCCUGAAAUUGAUUAGCGGUACCUUUGUGGAACUGUCUACAGGUGUGAUAAUUAUCUACAUCUUAGACAUCUGCUGGAAUGCUGCUUUCUAAACCUUACUUGUAUUGACAAUCUUGACCUCAAAUCAGGUAGGACUACCCGCUGAACUUAAGCAUAUCAUAAGCGGAGGA